AGCGCGUCCUGUGCGCCGUGUGCUCCUCCCCGAGCCGUCUGCACCUCCGUGCUGCCCUCCUCCGCGCCGCCCCACCGCCGCCCUCACCAUGUUCUUGCCCACGCCGCCCUGCUCCCCGGCCGCCCCCGCUCCUCCGUGACGCCCUGCUCCCAGCGCUGCCGCCUUCUCCUCUGCGCCGCCAUGCUCCCAGCGUCGCCGCCUGUUACUCUGCGCCUCCCUGCGCCCUGCGUCGCCGCCUGCUCCUCCGCGCCGCCCUGCUCCCAGCGUCGCCGCCUGCUCCUCCGUGCCGCUCCCCCCGUCGUCGUCGCCGCCCCUCCCCGUACGCUAGCCCGAGCUGGCCCUCCCAUCGGCUCCGCCGCCCCUCCCAUCAGCGCCGCCCCCCCCCUCCCCAUCCGCUAGCCCGAGCCGACCCCUAACUGCUCCGCCGCGCCACCUUUCAUCCACCGGGAGGUCCGUCUGCUCCGGCGGCAAGGUGCUCCUCGUCUGCAACUUCAGUAUAUCCGAGGAGGAUGUGGAUUUGGUCCAGUUUGCAAUAUGUUCGUCUAGUUCUGAACUUUUGAUUGUGGUUGUAACCGUGGUCUUUAUUGUUGAUGAAUUGGUCAUACUGUGAUGGGCCCUUCUUUUGCUCUCCAUGCAAGCUACAGGGUUUGGUUUUGAUAACUUAAGCAAUCUGGUCAUGUGCUUGCUAAUGAGCUUGUUAGGCUGCCUGCUCUUUCUUGUUGUUGCCUAAUAAGUGAAGAGGAGCACAAAUGUUCCAACUUGUACUAGUCUUCUUCCUGGGUGAAAAAGGAAAAGACACUGAUGGCUUGUUCAA